rnacentral:misc_RNA from 1 species
UGAGGAAUUCAAGAAGUUUAUGGGGAAUCCCUCAAUUGAGGCUGCUAUUAAACUUGAGAAAAAGAGAGCUGAUAGAAAGCUGAAAGAGCUUGAUAGUGAAACCACUAGCAACCCACUUGUGGGCUUCUUUAAAAAUUUGGUUCGUGUCAGUUUGUCCAAAGAGAAAGAGAGGUUGGAAAAAGCAGAGGAAGCUUUUGUAGCUCUUGAUCUUAAUAAGCUAAGGAAUUGCUUUGGCUUUGAUACAUUCUUCGCG